AGAGUUUGAUCAUGGCUCAGGAUGAACGCUGGCGGCGUGCCUAACACAUGCAAGUCGAGCGGGGAAGCCGGAACAUGUAGAGAUAUAUGAGAAAGCAUCCGUAGCGGCGGACGGGUGAGUAACACGUGAGGAACCUGCCUUACACAGGGGAAUAACACCGUGAAAACGGUGCUAAUACCGCAUAACACCGCACUAUGGCAUCAUAGAGCGGUCAAAGGAGAAAUCCGGUGUAAGAUGGCCUCGCGCCCGAUUAGUUAGUUGGUGGGGUAAUGGCCUACCAAGACUGCGAUCGGUAGCCGGACUGAGAGGUCGAACGGCCACAUUGGAACUGAGAGACGGUCCAGACUCCUACGGGAGGCAGCAGUGGGGAAUAUUGGGCAAUGGGGGGAAAAACCCCUGACCCAGCAACGCCGCGUGAAGGAAGAAGGCCUUCGGGUUGUAAACUUCUUUGAUCAGGGAAGAAACAAAUGACGGUACCUGAAAAACAAGCCACGGCUAACUACGUGCCAGCAGCGGC
rnacentral:rRNA from 1 species